rnacentral:tRNA from 1 species
UAGCUCAGUUGGUAGAGCAUGGCUGCUUGCAACGCUAGGAUUGUGGGUUCAAUUCCCAC